rnacentral:rRNA from 1 species
UACGUAGGCGGAAUAUUAAGUCAGUGGUGAAAUCCUGCGGCUCAACCGUAGAACUGCCAUUGAUACUGAUAUUCUUGAAUAUAGUUGAGGUAGGCGGAAUGUGUAAUGUAGCGGUGAAAUGCUUAGAUAUUACACAGAACACCGAUUGCGAAGGCAGCUUACUAAACUAUUAUUGACGCUGAGGUACGAAAGCGUGGGGAGCGAACAGGAUUAGAUACCCUGGUAGUC